GCUAGUGAAAGCUGAAAAUGAUUUACAAAUACUAGUUAAUUCUUCAGCAGAUCAGGUAUAAACAAAAUUUAAUUAAUUAUACACAUUAAAUUGUUGUAUUUUUCAAUAAGAAAACAUUAAACACAUGCAUUUUAAGAACACAAAAAUAUAUAUAGUCCCAUACUUUCAACCAAAAGUAGUUUACUUAAGGUAGUUCGUCCCCUUACUAUGACCCCCUAAGUCCAAGCA